rnacentral:lncRNA from 1 species
GAAUGUUUCCAUGCAUCCAAAGCAAUCAAAGAUGCCCUAUUGUUUUCCCCUUCUUGUAUGGCGGGAGGAUCUUCAUUCAAGAAUUUCGCCAAGUUGAGGGUUGUGAGAUAAAACAACAUUUUCUGUUGCCACCUUUUGAAAUCAACCCCAACAAAUUUCUCCGGCUUUUCCCCAUGUGAAACGGAGUUUGAAUGUACGAUAGUAGGGGCACCCACAACCGGAGUAGUAGUUGUAUUCACAACGGGAGGAAUCACACCGGUAGGAACACUUCCUUCAGAAGUUCCCAUGUUCGAAGUUUCAUUCGAAGUAGUAUCGGUAUUAAGAACCGUAUUCAUUUCUGUUUACGUAAAACAGAAGAUCAACCAAAAAUAGAAGUGAAGAAGAAGUUAAACUUAACAAGUUUAACCAAACAAGAAUGUCACUUUCACAAAAAUGAAGAAUUCGACUUAAGAUUGUUGGAAGAAUUUUGUGAAUAGAGACGCCAAAAAUAAGUAUAAAGAUAGGGACAAAGCCGAGGCAAGAGUUGGACUCUUUGUCCUUAAGUCGAAUUUGCCCCGCAACGGUGCCUAC